UUACCGAAUCUGUCAGUUGUGGUC
rnacentral:siRNA from 1 species